rnacentral:lncRNA from 10 species
CUGCUAGUGGGUACGAGGUUUCUUCUUGGUACAAGGACUUCUACGUUCUGUCCUCCUGCAGCCAUCUAAAAUCAGCCAGAAAGGUUUAGGAUCCCAUUUCCUGUUCUUGCAUCGGCUGUCCAAGCUGCUGUUCCUCUCUCCGCAGUAAGAGGGUGUUUCUCUCCCUGUUCAAGAGGAGCACCAACACUUGAGGACAGUAUCAUCCCUAGACCUUGGCAAGAGAGACCACUGAGUGAGGCAUCCAUGGAACCCAAGGAAGAGGCCUACGAAGAACCUGCAGUCACCUUCUAGACCAUUCUCCCUCACCAAACUGUCCCCUCCAGAGAGCUGAGGACUGGAUCUUCCCAUGCUGACACCUCCAGUGGGAAAGAAAAUUCUAGAUUCAGCUCUGGGUGUCCAAGUCAUUAUGAAGGCAUAUUUGUCAAGGUGGAAGAAAAGGACAUAUUCUAUUUAGCAGUUUAAAGAAGUAAUGCAUGACUCUGAUUUGCGGCUGCAGGAUAAAUCCGAACUAUUUCAGGGAGAUGUCAUGGAGAGCUCAUCUCUCAGCAUCAAAGUUGCCUCUCCUGACUUUUGAAUUUUAAGUGUUCUGUGUGGAAGAAAAAUGGAGACAACAAAUUUCUAUGCAUGGAUUCAAAGAAUCCUCGUAAUAUACAGACUACAUUCUCCCCAGCUUUUUAUCUCUAUAUAUUCUUUUUGUUGAGUUUCAACCACAUAGGGUUGAAAUUCACCUUCCCACAUUACAUUUUUCAUCAAUAGUUGAAGACCUAUGUAUGUAAAUAUCAGGAACUAUCAGAACUCCCUGCAACAGGAAACCUGACCCCCAACUCCCCCGAAAUGCAUCAUGAUAAACAGUCACUUGCCAAAAUAACAAAUCAGCUUCCUGGAACAUGCUUGCUCAAAACCAGGAGAGGAGCUUAGAGACGUCAGCUUGACUUCUGCCUCGUACGCAGGAAGGGUGACCUUCAAAGAUCAAACAUCGUCCCAAAUCUCCCUUCAUCUUGUAGUACUCCUGCUUGUCGUAGCUCCUGUUACCAUCAGAGACAGAAUGUGCUAUAACCUUCUGGAAACUUCUACUAUUUUCCUGCAACCUGACUACCCCUUAGGUGAGGGAGUCCAGAAUGCUGGCUUGAAAUGGGAGAGAGAAAGAACUGCCACAUAAUUUGCAAGAUCUUUUUUGAAAAAGAAAAGGUAUUAAGAAUUCCAGGACAGCAUUAGGAAUGUAUUAAAC